rnacentral:rRNA from 1 species
CGCCCUUCCUACGGGAGGCAGCAGUGGGGAAUAUUGGACAAUGGGCGAAAGCCUGAUCCAGCAAUGCCGCGUGAGUGAUGAAGGCCUUAGGGUUGUAAAGCUCUUUUACCCGGGAUGAUAAUGACAGUNCCGGNG